UACAGGUUCCUUUACAGUGAGUUAAUGAAAUACAACCCCCAGACUGCGAAGGACAGUAUAUUUGAGCUUGCCAGGGGAGGAGAGAAGCUCCAGAUAAAAAAGACUGUUUCGUUCCACCUGUACAUCAGGUCUGUACCCUGCCGGGCUCCCAGGAUGGGCUUCCACCUGCUCUGCCGGCCCCUAAAUCUGACCCCACGCAACAGGCCACACGCUCCACUGAGGUACCAUGAGGUACAUUCCCCAGUGGAGGAUGACUGUCCUAGACACAGCUGCCCCCUCCAGCAUCCCCUGGUGGGCUCCAGGAAACAUCCCAGCUCCAGCCGCAGCAGACUAGGGACCCCGAGAAGUUGGAGUUCCCUCCUGCGCAGGUGAGUGACGGACACCCCUGUGUUGCAGCACUGCCCCGUGUGGAGACGGCGCCCUCUUCGACAAGUCCUGCAGUGACCGCGCCCUGGAAAGCACAGAUUCCCGCCACUACCCUGUCUUUGAGAAUCCCAAACAAGGCAAGCUGCGCACCAAGGUGGAGAAUGGUGAGUGCCACACAGGCUCUGCGAGACCCCCGUGUGCGCCACUCGUCACGGGGGAGGACUGUAGGGAGGGGAAGUUCCAUUCUGAAUCUGUUAGCUCAGGUGAUGAGAGCCUGGGGGGGAAGAAAGGACAGAGCGUGUCCUCCUGGGGUCUCCACGGCCGGCACAGGCAGAGUGCGGGGGGAGGGCGGCGGAAGUGAAAAGUCAGGCCCUCCGUCUGGUGGCCUCGGACCUGGCCUCCUGCCCCCUCGCGCCUUCCUGCCUGUCCCCCAGCAUCUCCUUCUCCUCCGGUCACCCCUGCUCCCUUCAUGCUUCAGCAGUCGUCUGCGUCACUGUCAAGCCCAAGUCAGGUCACGUCAGUUCCCUGCUGGCCACCCUGAAGUCUGGACAGCACCACGUGGCCCAGCAGUCCUCCUGGGCUAUCCCCAGGAGAAGUGAAAGCCCAGGUCCACACAGAGCUAGUUCGGGCGCCUUCACAGCAGCCGGGCAGGGGACACGGCCAGCGCCCUCCCCUCCAUGACAGAAAAGUAAAACCGCCACAUCCAUGCGAGGGACUGUCCUUGGCCAUGACAUGAAGUAAGCAUUGACCCAGCUACAGUGAGGUCACCCUGAAAACGUCAUGCUAAGCGCAAAAAGCCCCAAAAGAUCACGUGGUGUGACUCCAUUUCUAUGAAAUAUCCAGAAUAAAUGAGUUCUACAGACAGGAAGUGCCUGAGAGGCUGCCCGGAUGAGGGACGGAGGGAGGUGGGAGUGAGAGCCAGCCGAGGUCGGGUUGGGGUUGAUCGUGCCGAUGUAUAAUCCCAUGGUGCAUAACCUCAGAAACGCCAAAAACCACUGAACAGCUUGCUUUCAAUGGCGAGUUGUAGUAUACGACUUGUAUCUCAGUAAAGCUGGUAUUUUUUAAAAAAACGCAAGCACCAUGUAGGGUCUCCCACUGCCCUUGAUACGAAGGCAACCUGAGCCAGGCACAGUGGCCCAGGCCUGCAAUCCCAGCAGCUCCGGAGGCUGAGGCAGGAGGAUCACGAGUUCAAAGCCAGCCUUAGCGAGGCCCAGAGCAACUCAGCAAGACCCUGUCUGUACUGAAAGCCCACCUCCCGGCCUCAGCCUGCCCAGUCUUCUCUUUGGUGAUUCUCUGGUGCCCCCGAAACACCGAAACCCUCGCUGCCUCAGGCCGUGGCUUCUGCCGCUCGCUCCCUGUCUGAAUGGGUUAGGACUCUUCUCCCUCCAGCUGCUCCCUGCCUCCUCCACCCAGGAGCUCGCGGUGCCGUCCCCCCGGCUCUCCCACAGGCCUUCCCCACGCUGUCAGCAUCUGGAGUUCCCACCUGCUCACUGGUGCAUCUGCUUAGUGCUCUCCUUUCCCUUUCUGUCCCUCACCCCUGAACACCGCGGGACAGCACGGACCUCACUGAGGUCUGCUCCCCAGUGUUUCCCAGCUCCCAGCACAGUGACCGCCGUGUCCUCCAGGACUGUGAGCCACAUGGAGAAUGAAGGGCCGAGCUGCCGGUGGCCCGGCCUCAGGAGCUCAAGUCCCGCGCUAGGGGUGGUUUGGUGGCCUCUGUGGAUCUGACCCGAGUCUCUCACACAGGGGAAGGCACCAUCCCUGUGGAGUCCAGUGACAUUGUGCCUACGUGGGAUGGCAUCCGGCUUGGGGAGAGACUCCGCACCAUGUCCUGUAGUGACAAAAUCCUACGCUGGAACGUGCUGGGCCUGCAAGGGGCACUGCUGACCCACUUCCUACACCCUGUGUAUCUCAAAUCUGUCACACUGGGUAAGGGACCUGCCUUGGGAGUUGGAACCCACCUGUCCUUCUCCACCCCAGUCCCAGAAAACUUCAUGCUUCAGUCAACCCACUUUCCACAGUGAGCUCAGCCCCGUCGUCAGCAGGGGGUGCCGGCCUGCACAGGCCGGAGGGUGGCCAGGAGGCCGAGGAGGGGGGCCAGGCCAGUCUCCAAGACGGGUCGGAGAAACGCGGCAGAUGGCAGCAGCAGCAUCUGGUUUUCCUUGUUCUCCUCAGUCCUUGGCCUUACCCGAAACAUUCCGUUUUGUGCUUCAAUAUUUGAUGAUCCUGUGUGUCCUGUGCUGCCACAGUUAGAGGCCCUGCCUGUCAGGGGCUCUCUGUCCUGACAAUUCUGCCUUAUACCUUCCAGCCCCCGGGGGCCUCAGCUUCUCCAUAGCUUUGGUGAACACAGAUGUAUGGGUUUUUGUUUCUGUUUUUACUUUCUUUUUUAUACCCAGGGUACCUUUUCAGCCAAGGACAUCUGACCCGGGCUAUCUGCUGUCGUGUGACAAGAGACGGGAGUGCGUUUGAGGCUGGAUUACGAUACCCCUUUGUUGUCAACCACCCGAAGGUCUGUGCCCCUGUCCUGUUCCCCUUUUCAAGCAUUCCCAUCAGCAGAGCAGAAAUAUGGUCAAGGGAGCCAUGGUUGGUGUCCUCUGGAGGCCAAGGGCUUUCCUCCUCUAGCCUGACACGAUCUGAAUCGAGGUGGAGAGUACUUCUAGAGUGUGCUCCGGUGUAACCAAGCCAUGUUAAAUCAAGGGGGAGACGGUGGCCCACCUCCCUCUUCCCCAUGAUUCGGGAGUCCCUGCUCCCAGAACUUAGCCCUGAAUGGUGUCCACCUCUCUCUCUUCACUCCUGGGACUCCCAGGUGGGCCGAGUCAGUGUGUAUGACUCCAAGAGGCAAUCCGGGAAGACUAAGGAGACGAGCGUCAACUGGUGUUUGGCUGACGGCUUCGACCUGGAGAUCCUGGAUGGUACCAGGGGCACCGUGGACGGGUAAGGAAGGGGGAGGGUGCAGGGCAAGCAGGAUCCUCUCCAGAGCUAGGGCCACGUCCCACCACGGGUGUCCCCAGUGGCUCCCACUCCCCUGUCCCAGGUGAAUAACCAGUGCCUUUGUUUCCCCAGGCCACGAAAUGAAUUGUCGCGGGUAUCGAAAAAGAACAUUUUUCUUCUGUUUAAGAAGCUCUGCUCCUUCCGGUACCGCAGGGACUUACUGAAACUCUCCUACGGUGAGGCCAAGAAAGCCGCCCGCGACUAUGAGAUAAACAAGAACUACUUCAAAAAGAGCCUCAAGGACAUGGGUUACGGAAACUGGAUAAGCAAACCCCAGGAGGAGAAGAACUUCUAUCUCUGCCCCGUACCCAACGACUGAGGCUGGGGGUUGGCGGGGAGGGGGGGGGUCCUGGCAUUCCUCAUCACAUUGGCCUAGGGUGGGGGGGGGUUAACCCCCACCUUUUUUUUUUUAAUGGAACCAUAAUUAGAGAUACUGAGAACUUUGGGUUCCCUUUAUCCUGCUUUCUUUGGGGUUUCUAGGCAGAAUCUGGCCAGGCCCCUUCUCUUACUUCAAGUGAGAGGCAGAGACCUACAGGCAGAGAAAGGGGUUGACCUUUCCACCCAGAGCAUAAGCAGUCACCCAGCCCCUGUGGCCCAUCUCCUCCUGAGCUUUGUUUUCCCGUUUCCUUUUUGUGGGUGUGUUUCUACACUGACCUCUCGUGGACUUGAUCAGGUUCCAGUCAGUUCUCUGUGAACCGUGUCAGGGACCAAGGAUCUCGUUUAUGGAUCCCACAGGCCCCUCUAUUUCCCACCCCCGGCUUCUGAGAUUCUUACCUGUGAUCACUGAGUCUCUCCUCCCACCCUGGAGGGUAAAGAGGUGGACUUCAGGAAUUAGGUGAAAUAUUUACAAGGGUAGGAACUGAAGACUACGGCGGAUUAACUACCAGUGCCAAUGGAAGUGGGACUGGAAUCUGCGAACCCUGCUCAGCAGUGGGAACCUGCACUGUGUCCAGGAAAAAGCCGCUGCUGGCGAAGCGCAUCCCUUCCCGGGGCAGCAGGAAGUUGAGAACCAGCAGACGGGCUAGGAAGUUACCCACGCCGUAGGCGGUCCCCCCUGCAGAGUGACACAGACCACUACCAGGGGCACAGACAGACGUUCCUUGGGCUAUUGCCAAGCUCCCAUCUGCCCAUAAGCCCAUAGACCCCAGUAAACUAGUGUGAAAAACUUCAGGACAAUUCUUAGAGGGUAAAUCGUCUGCUCAGAUAGUUAGGACUUAGCAAGAAUAGGGCAGAAAUCAUGUUGGGACAAAUCGUUGUUCUGUGCAGUUCAAUAUUUCUCAGCACUGAUCCAAGGAAAGUUGACUAAACCCAGUAGAAUUAGGGCUCUUUUAAAGAAUGCCAGAGACGUUGGUUCUCAACCGCAGUCGCACAGAUUUAAAAUGCAGAUGGCCUUUUCCAUCCAUCCCAGGGCCUCAUCGUGUCAGAUGGCUCUGGGACUGGCAGAUGAUUUCCCACACUCCUGCCUCCCACCCGCAAACUGCUUCCCCACCUGGUCUGGCCCACCUCUUCAGUAGUGGAUAUGUCUGUGUUUGCACUUUGAUCUCUCUGGCUACUUUCUGUACCUGUGACCAAAAACUGAAUGAAAUAAUAAUGCAGGUUUUAAAAAAGACACUAAGGAUGUCUUUGUGGGACACUGAAGCAUCCCAAGGGAACUGGUGGGGAAAUGGGGCCUGUCUCUGGGGGAGAAGGGGCCGGGGCUUUGUGAGUAUUGCCAAGCUUGGGGUAUUAGCUGAAGGCAUGUGACUUCAGUGCUGACCUGCGGAGUGACAGUGCUCACUGUGUGGGGGCAGGGUGAUCUUGUGGCUCCGGGACAGGUCCUCCCGGCUGGAGGAUGACUACCUACCAGUUCCUCAGGAUGUCUGGCAGCUUUGGUCUGCCUUGGGCAUUAGAAUCUCUGGCAGAGAUCUGACUCAGCAGUCCCCCACCCCAUCACUGGGAGCACAGGGGCUCUCAAGAGAUCAGAGCCCCACUCGCCCCCAGGAUCUUAUCUAGCAAACUUGUCAUAUCCAGUUUCUGCUGUAAGAAGAAAGCGAGAAGCACCCCUGCCCUCCACACCCUGCUGGAAUUGAGCCGUGUCAGGCCCCGCCCCCCCCGUGUCCCAGGCCCCGCCCCUCAGAGUCACACAGGAGGGGUGGGGGGCAGAGCAUCCCCCCUGUGUUCACUUCUGUCCAAUCUUUGUUUUAACAAGCAAGACCCCUCCCUCCUUUCUUUAAUGGUUUUUUGUAGUUGAUUUGUCUGAACUGUGGCUGUUGUGCAUUAUCUUUGAAUAAUCACUUGUAAAAAUUGUUGAUGCUUGAAGCUAUUUCCUUUACUCAAGUUGAAAGGACUCUGUUGGCUUUGGGGUCUUGACAGUGACUCCAAGAGCAGAGUGGGGAAGAGCCCGGGCAUAGCCUUGGUGCCAGGGAGGCUGCAGUCCAGUUUCAUGAUUCUGCUUUUUGUGUCUACCUUCAAGUGACUCACAGUAUACAUUCCUCUGAAAUAAAAACAGUGAACAGUCUGAAUCCUUAGAGAGCUUCAUGUCUUGGU
rnacentral:lncRNA from 1 species